AAGUCGUAACAAGGUCUCCGUAGGUGAACCUGCGGAGGGAUCAUUACUGAGUGAGGGCUCACGCCCGACCUCCAACCCUUUGUGAACCAACUCUGUUGCUUCGGGGGCGACCCCGCCGUUUCGGCGACGGCGCCCCCGGAGGUCAUCAAACACUGCAUCUUUGCGUCGGAGUCUUAAAGUAAAUUUAAACAAAACUUUCAACAACGGAUCUCUUGGUUCUG
rnacentral:misc_RNA from 1 species